rnacentral:rRNA from 1 species
GACAGAGGCCUCGAGCGUUACUCGGAAUUACUGGGCGUAAAGCGUGCGUAGGUGGUUCGUUAAGUCUGAUGUGAAAGCCCUGGGCUCAACCUGGGAAUGGCAUUGGAUACUGGCGACCUAGAGUGCGGUAGAGGGGUGUGGAAUUCCCGGUGUAGCAGUGAAAUGCGUAGAUAUCGGGAGGAACACCGGAGGCGAAAGCGGUCCACUGGGCAACUUCUGACGCUGAGGUGCGAAAGCUAGGGUAGCAAACGGG